AUCACCUGGGGAUCUUGUUAAAAUGCAGAUUUUGAUUCAGCAGGUCUGGGGUGGGGCCUGAGACUCUGCAUUUCAAACAAUCUCCCAGGUGAUGCCAG
rnacentral:pre_miRNA from 1 species